rnacentral:misc_RNA from 1 species
CUUUCAAGAAUGUCCUGAACCUCAGAAGCUCUUUUUGUCUUUAGCUGUAAACAGUUAAGAAGAGCUGUCCAUUUGUCGGAACAGUUAUCAAAAACCCCAACCCUGUAGUAUUGCUGCAUCUGAUGAACUGGAGAAUAGCAGAACCACAGAGCAUCAAAGCAGGUGGUGCAGGACAAUCUCCUCCUCGAUCCCGCAGUGUUAUUCUGCUGCACUGGUGUUACAUUCUCUACUCCUUCCAUGUCUCCCAGUUCGAAAAGUAUUGAACUAUUUCUAAUAGAUUGAAAAUACAAUUGUUUCCGAAAGCCUUCAGCAUUCAGAGUUGGGACAUUCGGG